UAAAAAAAUUGAUUAUAUACUUUGUGAUUUAGCAACUUCAGUUCUUUUGUUACCUAAUCAUCAUCAAAGUCAAUAGUUUAUUCUCCCAACGGCGUCCCGAGUUGGGUCCAAGAAUCAAAAGGGUUGACAAGAUAGAUCCCUGAAUUGUGGGGAGCUUGAUGGCGAUUUUCGAUCAUAAGAAGUUGGGACUCUGCCGAGACGACGGUGUGGCCUCGGAAGUGUUGGGGGAUGGGGAUUGAGUUGUCAGGAGAGACGGAUUCAGUUUUCUGGCAAAUGUCCAGAUCUUCAUCGCCCAGUUUGGAGCUAGCACACUGUUUGUAGCAAGCCUAAUGUCUGGCCCGUCGAAGCUUCUGUGCAGUGAAUUUUCCAGGGAGUCUCAUUUCUUGAGGACCAUAGGGCAGGUAAGUAUCCAUCAUGCUGUUAUUUCACUUCUGCAGUGAAGUUGUCGGAGUGUGUGAAAAUUGUACCCUAAUUUAUAUGCCUCUGUAUGAUGUAGUUUUCUCCACUAGAUGUUGCAAGUAUAUCUUGGGAUUAUUCUUCUUACAUUCAACUGAUGUUGAAGUCUGUGGUCGUCAAUUUUACUAGCACAAUUAAUACGUAGAAGUUGGUGAAUUGCAUUAUGUAGUUGCCUGUGAAAUUAGCAGAUAGUUUUAACUAUUUAUAGUUUGCAAAUCCAUUUCCCUUCCUCAAAUUCAUAAAACUUCAAAAUUUUUUUUUACUUUUAGUCCCUUUGCCAUGAAUCACACACCCUAGACAACUUUCACAUAUUCAAAACAAUAAAGAUAAAUUCAUAAUAGAAUCCCUCAAAACAGACUGAAAUUAUGAAGGGAAAUAAAAAAAUAGAUGGGUUGAAUGGGUCAUUUAAAGUUCAUCUUAACAAAUGGGUGACUUGGGCAGUCGACUCAGCCAGGGGUUGAUGCGCAAGGCCGCAAGGCCUUUCGGACGUCGACAUGUGACGCCUUUCGGGUCAUCGACAUGUGACGCCUUUCGAGUCGUCGACAUGCAGUGCCCUUCGAGUCGUUCUCGCAAGAUGUCGGCGUGUCGAGUCGACUAAGUUGGGACUCUGAUUUUCUUGAGAUGUUAACUUGAUUAUGCAUAAUGUGGGACACUUAUCUGCCAUUAAUUAGGGAUUAUUUUUCAUUACUAAAACGGCUAUAACAGACACAAAUCAUGAGUUACAUUCUAGAAAAUUAUGGAUUUUGAAGUGUGCCUAUUUACUUGUCAUUGGUCAAAGCAGAUGAAAAUUGACAAAAUUUAUGUGUUAUAACCCAUCAAAAUCAUGAGUUUCAAAACACGUAUGUUUACUUGCCAUUUGGUUGUAACGUACAAAAAUUGGUAAAAGGGGUACUUAUAACAAUGAAAUUGUGUAUUAGAAAGUAAACUUACUUGUCAUUUGGUCGAAAUUAACAAAAUUGAGAAAAGUUGUAGGUAAUUCCCAUAUAUUUUGAAGUACACAAACCUAUUUGCUAUUGGGUCAAAAUGAAUAAAUUUUAACAAAAUCUUUUGAUUAUAGCCCAUGAAAAUCAUGCGUUAUAACCCCUUGUAAAUUGUAAAUCUCCAAAGUACUCUUAUUGAUGCUCAUUUGCUCAAAAUAGAUGAAAAUGUUAAAAAAAUUUACGUUAUAGCUUAUAAAAUCGUGAAUUUGAAAGCAUGCAUAAUUAGUUGUCAUUGAACCAAAAUGAAAAAAAUUCAUAGGUUAUAACCCAUUAAAAUCAUGAAUUUUGAAAAAAAAAUAAUUGCCAUUAAAUUAAAAUGAAGAAAAUUUUAAAAAAAUCGUGUGUUAUAGCCCAAGAAAAUCGUGAAUGUUGAAGUGCACAUACUUAUUUACUAUUAGGUGGAAAACUUACUUUAAUAGAUAAAAUUAUUGGUUAUAAUCGAUGAAAAUUAAGAAUUUUAAAGUAUGCAUAAUUAAUUUUCAUUAGGUCAAAAUAAGAGAUAGUGGGCAAAAAUCUCAAGCUAUAGUUGUAAAAAGUGUGUUUGAAGGAUUCCUAAUUAGUUGCCAUUGAGUGAAGACAAACAAAAUAAAUAAAUAAAUAAAUAUUGUAGGUUUAGUUGAUAAAAACCGUGAAGUUCGUAGUAUGUAAAUGUAAUUGCUAUUCGGUUGAAAUAAACAACAACGGAUAAAAGUUCGGUAGCCAACAAAAGUCCUGAAUUAAAAAAAGGAAAUUUAAUGCUUUUAGGUUGAAACAAACGAAAAUGAACAAAAAUCAUGGGUUAUAAAUUUAUAACCCAAAAAAAUUGCGAAGUUUUUAGUACGCAAAAUUAAUUUCCAUUGAGCCGAAACAAACAAAAAUGACAAAAAUCAUGGAUUACAGUCUAUGAAAAUUGGGAACUUGUAAGUGCCCUAAAUAAUUGUCAUUGAAUCAAAAUAAAUAAAAGUGGAUAAUAUUCAUGUGUUAUAGCCCAUGAUAAUAGUGAAUUUUGAAAUAUGCAUACUUAUUUGUCCUUGGGUCCAAACGAAUGAAAAUAUAGAAAAAUUAUUGGUUACAGCCUAUAGUACUGAUGAAUUUUCAAGUAUAUGCAUAAUUUAAUUGUUAUUAAGUCAAAUAAAUGAUAAUUGACAAUAGUCAUGAGUUAUAGACCAUGAAAAAAAUUACAAAAUUUGAAGUACUUCUAAGUGAUUGUCAUUGGUCGAAAUAGACAAAAAUGGACACAUUUGGUUAUGGGCUAUAAAAAUUAUCAAUUUUGAAGUAUCCGUAAUUAAUUGAUAUUUUAUUGAAGAUGACAAAACGGACAAACUUUGUAGGUUAUAUCCCAUAAGAACCAUGAAUUUUGAAGCACACAGAAUUUAGUUUUCAUUGGGUUUUUGCACGAAAUUGACCAAAACAAUGCUAUGUAGCCCAUGAAAAUUACAAAUUAAAAAAAAACUAAAUGUCAUUGAGUCGAACGAAUGAAAAUGAAAAAAAAAUCAUUGGUAUAACCCAUGAAAAUUACAAAUUUUGGACUAUGUAUAAUUAAUUUUCAUUGGGUCGUAACGAAUGAAAUAGACAAAAAACAUGGAUUAUAUCCAAUAAAAAUUGUGAAAAACUCAAAAAUACCUAAUUACUGGUCACUAGUCAAAACAGAUAAAAAAUGAUAAAAUUUAUGCUUUAUAACCCAUCAAAAUCAUAUUGAAACAAAUGAAAGUAGAUAAAAGUCGUGGUAUAACUCAUGAAAGUAGUGAAUUUAAGUACACAAAAUUAAUUUUUAUUGGGGCGAAACAUACAAAAAUGGACAAAAAUCUUGGGUUAUAGUUCAUAGAAGUUGGGAAUUUGUAAGUACACCUAGUUAAUUAAAUUGGAUUGAAGCAAACAUAUAUUGACAAAAUUCAUGGGUAUAACCCAUGAAACUCUAAAAUUUGAAGCAUGUGUAAUUAUUUGUCAUUGGUUUGAAAUCGAACAAAAAUGGACAAGAAUCAUGGGUUAUAGCCUGUAAAAAAUUUAAGUACACAUUUAAUUAUCACCAAGUCGAAAUAAAUGAUAAUUGUCAAGAGUUAUGAGUUAUAGACCAUUAAAUUAUAAAUUUUAAAGUACUCCUAUAUUAUUGUCAUUUUUGUCAAAAAAGACAAAAAUGGACAAAAUUUGUCGAUUUCAGCCUAUAAAAUCAUGAAUCUUGAAGUACAUAAAAUUUAUUUUCUUUUGCAUUGAAACAUACGAAAUUGACAAAAACUAUGAGAUAUAUCCCAUGAAAAUUGCAAAUCUUCUAGAAAUAAAACUAAAUGACAUUAUGUAGAACAAACAAAAAUGGACAAAAUCAUCGGUUAUUACCCAUGAAAAUCAUGAAUCUUUUAGUACUCUAAUUAGUUUCCAUUUGAUUAGACAAACAAAAUAGACAAAAAACGUGGAUUAUAUCCCAUGAAAAUUGUGAAUUUUAAAGUAUUCCUAAUUACUUGUCAUUGGUCAAAACAGAUGAAAAUUAAUAAAAUUUAUAUGUUAUAACCCAUCAAAAUAAUGAAUUUUUUGUUUCACAUUUCAUCGAAACAUACAAAAAUUAAUUAAAAAUGGUAGGUUAUAGCAAUGAAAAUCUGUAUUUUGAAUAAAGAACCUUAGUUGGCGUUGGAUAGAAACUAACAAAAAUUGUGAAAUGUUGUAGGCUAUGCCCAUGGAAAAUCAUGAAUUUUGAAGUACACACGUGUAUUUGUCAUUGAGUUCAAAUGAAUAACUAUUAAUAAAAUCUUUUAGUUGUACCCCAUGCAAUUCCUGAACUUUUAAGUAUGAAUAUUAAUUGUCAUUUGGUCAGAAUGAAUGAUAAUGGACAAAAAUCAUGCGUUAUAUUGCUUGAAAAUUGUAAAAUUUAAAGUACUUUUAACUAUUGCUCAUUGGGUCAAAAUAGACGAAGUUAAAAAAGAACAAUUUGAGUUAUAGCCUAUAAAAAUUGUGAAUUUAAAAGUGUAUGCAUUAUUAAUUGUCACUAAGUUGAAAUAAAAAAAUCAUGAGUUAAAACCCAUUAACAUAGUGAAUUUUGACAAAAGAAAUUGUGAUUGCCAUAGGGUAAAAUGAAAGAAGAUCUAGAAAAAUUAUGGGUUAGCCCAUGAAAAUCGUGAAUUUUGAAGUACACAUUUAUUUGACAUUAGGUUGGAAACUUAACAAGAUUGAGAAAAUUUGUGGGUUAUAAGUCAUGUAAAUCGGGAAUUUUAAAGUAUGUAUAAUUAAUUGUCAUUAACUCUAAAUGAAUGAUAAUGGACAAAAAUUAUGGGUCAUAGCUAUGAAUAAUAAUUUUGAAGGGCAUUUAAUUAAUUGUCAUUGGGUUAAAACAAAUACAAAAUGGACAAAUAUCGUGGGUUAUUUAUGAGGAAUAGUAAAGCCAACCUUUGAAUGAAAACUUUGUGGAAAAUAUUUGGAUGAAUGGUAGUUUUUUCUUUUUCUUUUUUAAUAAAAGGCUUCUCAAAGAAAGAUAAAAGUACGAGAUAAUGUGGGUUAGAUCUGUUUCACGUGUAGCAUCUAGCUUGAAUAUAUGGAUUCAUGCCUUUGAGGCUUUCCACCAAAUUUCUCAUAUAAACGUAAUUUUUAUUCCUUCUAUAAUAUCUGCUUCACAUGAAGCCGUAAACCCCAAUAAUAGAGUUUAGAAUCUAAAACAAGUAACUAAUUUCAACUAACAAAUUCAAUCCUAUCUUUAAAACUAACUCAAACAAAUUCAACUCUAUCCUAAUUGACUAAGAUCAAAUAACUAAUUCUAAUUUAUCUAAAAUCAAAUCUAAAUUUAAAAUCAUAACAACUUUAUUUUGUUCAAGCUGAACCAAAUCUGAUCUUUGAAUUUGUCCUGCAUCAAUUAUAGUUUAUGAAAACUAUGAAUUUUGAGUUACACAUAAUUAAUUACUAUGGGGUCGAAAUGAACGACAAUGGAUAAAAGUCAUGUAGCCCACAAAGUUGCAAAUUUUAAAAAAGAAAAAACUUAAAACUAUUAGGUCAAAACAAACGAAAAGGACAAACAUCAUGGAUUAUAACCCAUAAAAGCUGUGAAUUUUUAAGCACACAAAAACCAUGAGUUGUAAUCCAUGAAAAUUGAGAAUUUGUGAGCAUGCCUAAUUAAUUGUCAUUAGAUUACAAAUGAAAACGGAUCAAAGUCGUGUGUUAAAGCCCAUCAAAAUUGUGAAUUUUGAAGCUUGCAUACUUAUUUGUCAUUGGGUUGAAACGAAUGAAAGUCAUGGGUUAUAGCCAAUGAAAGUCAAGAAUUUUUAAGUAGAUGUAAUUAAUUGUCAUUAGGCCGUCAUAAACGAUAAAUGACAAGAGUCAUGAGUUACAAACCAUGAAAAUUACAAAGUUUAAAGCCUCCUAAUUAAUUGUCAUUGGUUCAAACAGGCAAAAUUGAACAAAAAUUGCGGGUCAUAGGCCAUGAAAAUUGUCAAUUUUGAAGUGCGCAUAAUUAAUUGCCAUUUUGCCAAAAAAUAUGAAAAUGGACCAACUUUGUGGGUUAUAUAAUAUAGCUUGUUAAAAUCGUAAAUUUAUAAGCACACAUGAAAUUCAUGAUAUAUUGACAAAAAGCAUGAGAUAUAGACCAUGAAAGUCGCAGAUUUUAGAAAAAAGACACAUAAUUGCUAUCGGGUUGAAACAAAUAAAAAUUGUAAGAUAUGACCCAAGAAAAUUGAUAGUUGUUUACCAUUUUGGUCGAAACAAAUAAAAAUUGAUAAAAAUUAUGGUUUCAUAGCCCAUUAAAAUUGAAAAUUUUGAAACAAAAAUAAGUAAUUGUCAUUGGCUCGGAAUGAGCAUUAAGGGACACAAAUCAUUAGUUAUAACCCAUAAAAAUUGCAAUCUUUGAAGUACUCCUGAUUAAUAGCUAUUUGGAUGAAACAUAUCCAAAUGGACAAAAUUUUUAUUAGACCAGAAAAACUGCUCCGAUAAAAUUGAAUGGUGAAAAUUGCUUCAGGUAAAUGAGGCUCUUCUAAUAGUUGUUGUUGUCUUUUGCCUCACUGUUGAACUGAUGCUAUUUAAACUUUAAUCUCGUUUGCUCGAUUUAGUUAUGCAGGCAAAGUUCACGAGACUUUGCCGUCCUCUUAUUCAGAAAGCUUCCUCUCUGCAAAGGGUGUCGUCCAAGAGAAAAAGGCAUGUUAAUCAAAUAAGUAUUUUCCUGCAAGCACCACAGGGAGGUUAGAAGUUGAAGGCAGAUCUCCAGGCAACGUAAUCAGUGGUUACUGGUCAACAUGAAACUGAAGCUUAUCAUGAUGCCUCUACAUUCUUUCAAAUGUCACCACAUCCAUAUUACAUUUACACUUGUGUAUUCAUGACAAGGGCCAUGGCAGGAGCUCACUUUGAAUAUUCUGUCUGGUCACAGUGCAUUUGGACCGCUUGAAGAAGGAAUAUAUGGUCCAAGCAAAUAAUUGAUAAAGAUCAAUUCGAAUUUUUUGUUUCCCCUGGUCAGCAGUCAUUGAGCUUUGUUCUCCAAGAGACGACCUUGAUCUUUUCAAAACUGAAAAGGGAAUAUAUGUUCCGAGCAAAAGAUUUUAUUUUCUUCUACGCUGAAAGAAAGUUGUCUGCAUAAAGAAGACUGUAACAGGAGAUCCAUAUCGCACCAGCCUCAAUAGAUGACACAAAUACAUAACCGCGGGAUAGUGGAACAGAAGUAAAGACACAGCGAUAUAUUGUGUGACAACAUCGUUGAGAAAAGGUUCGGUGCAUUAAAUAUAUGAUGCAAUUUUAAAAAAUAAUGAAAUUAAUGCUAAGAGGGCUAGCCUUGUUUUUACUGAACUGCAGCAUUCUUCCAGAAACCCUGAUCAUUGAUAUCUUAAUAUUGGCUUAUCCUGUUGAUGUUUGUUGAUGUUACCACAUCUUCUUAAUCUGGGAUUGCGCAUAUUGUACCUGUCUGACCUUUUUAAAAUUGAUGUUUGCUUUUUCUCAUGAAUAGCUCUUUUUCGGCUUAGCUGGGUACAUAAUUAGCGAAAUAAAUGCUAUCUGGGUGUUAAUUAGGAUGAGAGGAUGACAAACACAUGCGCACGUUAACCAAAAACUACACCAUCACCCAAAUCUUGUUUGAGCUACUUCUGCUUUCCUCCUUUUUUUUUGUCGGCAGUUGCACAAAUAAUUGGGGCAAAUUCCAACGGUAAGCAAAAUACGAAGAAGAUUUUCGUUCCUUACAUGUGAAGCUAGUUAUUAAGGUUUUUUUUUUUUUGAAGUUGGUCUCCUUAAAUAUAGAUGGCUCUUAGACUUACAUCUUACAAGUAGAAAGAGUAUUCUGUCAAUUGUUCAUAUGUUUUGGUUUUGCGUAGAGUGGCAGUUUUUUUUAGAGCGGACACAGUUGUUCUUUUUCCCCCUCCUUUUUCAAAUUUUUUUUCGUUCUUUCAAAUUAGUAAAACAUUGAGCUUGUUUCCCUGUGGACAUAUAUAAGCUGAAGGAUGGCUGUGAUUCUACGUCCUUUUAUGUCUAAGCAGAAGAUUGUAUAUAUUCACCCCUCCCUCCAAUGGUCGUCUCUUAUCCAACACCUCGAUCUGCCUCGGAAAAAUUCUUCCGCAUAGAAAAAGCUUGUAGCUCAGCUGAUUAGUCAAAUGGUGAGCUCUCCCUCUGAAGCUCAUACCAUGCAGCUUUCAAUUCUUUUAGUUACGCCUUACUGUUCUAAGCAUUCAUCUGUUUUGAUUUUAUAUGUGCACUUUUACGCUUACCCUGUGGUUUACUUUGAAGAGUGAGUAGUGUGUGGUAAAGACAUGCAGUUUCCAGUUAGAGGAGGGAGAGGACGGGGAAAUGGACAGGGUGAUGUAAGAGGUUAUGGUGCUGAUAUCGGGAGUGGUAACUGGGCGGCUGGUGGCAAUGAUAUCCGUAUCCGCAAUGUUCUAGGACAUAUUUCUGAUGGCAUGCAGAUUGGAAGCAACAAUUUCUCUGAAACCGAUAAUGUUGUUCGUAUAGGUCAAUCUGGUAACUCUAAUCGGCCUGCACAAUGUAGAGACGAUGAUGACACCGUGGAAGUCACAGGAUGCUGGGGAGCAUUGGUUGCACCAAUAAAGAAGCAGCUUAGACGGAAUAGCAAGUCAUGACAUCUCUCCUUUUCACUGAUUUUGGGUUACAGUUAACAUAUGUAUAUGUACACACUAUGUAGAAUAUGCUUUUGUACGAGUCCCCUGUUUUUUUUCUUCUUUGACUAUUGAGGAAAAUGGAAAUAUUCUGCUUUUUUACAAGACCUAAAUGAAGUCCU